rnacentral:rRNA from 1 species
UACGUAGGGCGCAAGCGUUGUCCGGAAUUAUUGGGCGUAAAGAGCUCGUAGGCGGUCUGUCGCGUCUGCUGUGAAAACUCAGGGCUUAACCCUGAGCUUGCAGUGGGUACGGGCAGACUAGAGUGCGGUAGGGGAGACUGGAAUUCCUGGUGUAGCGGUGAAAUGCGCAGAUAUCAGGAGGAACACCGGUGGCGAAGGCGGGGUCUCUGGGCCGUAACUGACGC